ACUGCAGUCGAGCGGAAGAAGGGAGCUUGCUCCCGGAUGUUAGCGGCGGACGGGUGAGUAACACGUGGGUAACCUGCCUGUAAGACUGGGAUAACUCCGGGAAACCGGAGCUAAUACCGGAUAGUUCCUUGAACCGCAUGGUUCAAGGAUGAAAGACGGUUUCGGCUGUCACUUACAGAUGGACCCGCGGCGCAUUAGCUAGUUGGUGGGGUAAUGGCUCACCAAGGCGACGAUGCGUAGCCGACCUGAGAGGGUGAUCGGCCACACUGGGACUGAGACACGGCCCAGACUCCUACGGGAGGCAGCAGUAGGGAAUCUUCCGCAAUGGACGAAAGUCUGACGGAGCAACGCCCCGUGAGUGAUGAAGGUUUUCGGAUCGUAAAGCUCUGUUGUUAGGGAAGAACAAGUGCGAGAGUAACUGCUCGCACCUUGACGGUACCUAACCAGAAAGCCACGGCUAACUACGUGCCAGCAGCCGCGGUAAUACGUAAGUGGCAAGCGUUGUCCCGAAAUAUUGGGCGGAAAGGGCUCGCAAGCGGGUUCUUAAAUCCGAAGUGAAAACCCCCGGGUCAACCGGGGAGGGGCAUUGGAAACUGGGGAACUUGAGUGCACAAAAAGAAAGUGGAAAUCCCCCGGGGCGGGGUAAUUGUUUAUAUUUUGU
rnacentral:rRNA from 2 species